GUGAAUCAUCGAAUUUUUGAACGCAAAUUGCGCUUCCUGGCAUCCCGGGAAGUAUGCCUGUUUGAGGGUCAGUAUUAAUAAAAAAGCGGUGGAGUUACAAAUUGUGACGUUUCCGGAGUGUGGGCUAUCUUAACAUGUUUGGUUAAGAGGCUUAAAAUGGACCUUUUGGCGCAGUUGUAAACGUACAUAAAUGUUUUUUAUUAGUCUAUUCUUAAUGCCAAAAUCUUAUUAGAUGCGAUCACAUCGUGUGGCUGCGUGGCCAUAAAAUUUUAAUUAU
rnacentral:misc_RNA from 1 species